UGCAAGUCGAACGAGUUCUCGUUGAUGAUCGGUGCUUGCACCGAGAUUCAACAUGGAACGAGUGGCGGACGGGUGAGUAACACGUGGGUAACCUGCCCUUAAGUGGGGGAUAACAUUUGGAAACAGAUGCUAAUACCGCAUAGAUCCAAGAACCGCAUGGUUCUUGGCUGAAAGAUGGCGUAAGCUAUCGCUUUUGGAUGGACCCGCGGCGUAUUAGCUAGUUGGUGAGGUAAUGGCUCACCAAGGCGAUGAUACGUAGCCGAACUGAGAGGUUGAUCGGCCACAUUGGGACUGAGACACGGCCCAAACUCCUACGGGAGGCAGCAGUAGGGAAUCUUCCACAAUGGACGCAAGUCUGAUGGAGCAACGCCGCGUGAGUGAAGAAGGCUUUCGGGUCGUAAAACUCUGUUGUUGGAGAAGAAUGGUCGGCAGAGUAACUGUUGUCGGCGUGACGGUAUCCAACCAGAAAGCCACGGCUAACUACGUGCCAGCAGCCGCGGUAAUACGUAGGUGGCAAGCGUUAUCCGGAUUUAUUGGGCGUAAAGCGAGCGCAGGCGGUUUUUUAAGUCUGAUGUGAAAGCCCUCGGCUUAACCGAGGAAGCGCAUCGGAAACUGGGAAACUUGAGUGCAGAAGAGGACAGUGGAACUCCAUGUGUAGCGGUGAAAUGCGUAGAUAUAUGGAAGAACACCAGUGGCGAAGGCGGCUGUCUGGUCUGUAACUGACGCUGAGGCUCGAAAGCAUGGGUAGCGAACAGGAUUAGAUACCCUGGUAGUCCAUGCCGUAAACGAUGAAUGCUAGGUGUUGGAGGGUUUCCGCCCUUCAGUGCCGCAGCUAACGCAUUAAGCAUUCCGCCUGGGGAGUACGACCGCAAGGUUGAAACUCAAAGGAAUUGACGGGGGCCCGCACAAGCGGUGGAGCAUGUGGUUUAAUUCGAAGCAACGCGAAGAACCUUACCAGGUCUUGACAUCUUUUGAUCACCUGAGAGAUCAGGUUUCCCCUUCGGGGGCAAAAUG
rnacentral:rRNA from 1 species